UGACCAGACUCCUACGGGAGGCAGCAGUGGGGAAUAUUGCACAAUGGGGGAAACCCUGAUCCAGCGACGCCGCGUGAGUGAAGAAGUAUUUCGGUAUGUAAAGCUCUGUCAGCAGGGAAGAAAGAAAUGACGGUACCUGACCAAGAAGCCCCGGCUAACUACGUGCCAGCAGCCGCGGUAAUACGUAGGGGGCAAGCGUUAUCCGGAAUUACUGGGUGUAAAGGGAGCGUAGACGGUGAUGCAAGUCUGGAGUGAAAGGCGGGGGCCCAACCCCCGGACUGCUCUGGAAACUGUAUGACUUGAGUGCAGGAGAGGUAAGCGGAAUUCCUAGUGUAGCGGUGAAAUGCGUAGAUAUUAGGAGGAACACCAGUGGCGAAGGCGGCCUGCUGGACUGCAACUGACGUUGAGGCUCGAAGGCGUGGGGAGCAAACAGGAUUAGAUACCCCUGUAACA
rnacentral:rRNA from 1 species